AUUGAACGCUGGCGGCAGGCCUAACACAUGCAAGUCGAGCGGAGCGGCGGACGGGUGAUUAAUGCCUAGGAAUCUGCCUGGUAGUGGGGGAUAACGUCCGGAAACGGGCGCUAAUAUCGCAUACUAUCAGAUGAGCCGAGGUCGGAUUAGCUAGUGGGUGGGGUAAAGGCCUACCAAUGCGUGGAUCCGUAACUGGUCUGAGAGGAUGAUCAGUCACACAGGAAAUGAGGCACGGUCCAAUAUACUACGGGAGGCCGCAGUUGGGAAGAUUGUAGAAUGGGCGAAAGCCUGAUCCAGUCCUGCCGCGUGUGUGAAGAAUGUCUUCAGAUUGUGAAGCACUUUAAGUUGGAAGGCGUUCCCAACAGCAUGAGCACCGGCUAACUUCAUGCCAGCAGCCGCGGUAAUAC
rnacentral:rRNA from 1 species